AAGAAUUGUGGACAUGCUGUUCUCACCUAAAGCCAGUCUUACCCAGAGUCUACAGUGGACAUAGUGAUCAGGAUCGGCAGCAUUUCUCAGCUUUGAAGUGACUGUGGUGAGGGGGUAUGAAGAGUGUGAAGAAGGAGAUGAGAAGAAAAAUGACCGAGAAAACAACCAAGCGGGUCAAAAGGCCUUUCUGCUUCUGGUGGAAACAGAUCCCUGAGCAGCUGAAGCUCCUGGGGUGAGGCCAUCGAAGAUGAGAGUCAUCUUGUGAAUUGACCCAAAUCACAGACAGUUGCAGAGACUCUAAAUUUGGUUCCUUUUGUGCCAUAUCCCACAGCCCCUGAGCAGCAGUCAGAGAAAUAAGGGGCGUCCCCCAGUGGAGAUGCUGAUGGGUUUUCAUCGACACACAAGGCAGGGAGUGCAUCCAUGCUGGUGGCCUGGACACCUGUGAGCGAAUAUGAUCUUAUCUACAGAGUGGAUUAUCUUCUGAAUUUAAAGAAGCUCAGGACAGGAGGUGGGAGCAGUAAAUGGCCUGUGCUCACUGCCUCCCUUGAGUUCUCUGUUGUGGGUCCAUCCCUACCUGGACCCAGGCAAGCUCAUCUAUAACAGCAAUCAAGAUCCACCUGCUAAGCCCUAAGGAAACUGAAAUUCCACUCACGUCUUUUCCAAUGCUCAUGAGUUCUUGGAAGGGGAACUCUUAAAAAGUACAUG